rnacentral:misc_RNA from 1 species
CAGUGCUUGCAGCUAUAGAUCUUCCCUUCCAGAUUCACCACAAACAACCUCCCCAUGUCCUCAAAAACAGAUCCCUAAACAAAAAACUCUCUCUUCUCUUCUCCGUUUUCUUCUAGUGUUGGUGUUGUUGUUGCAUGGUUUCGAUGAAAAUGUGGACCAAUUUCAAUAUCUCAAUUAUAUUACUUUUUUUCUGCUAAAGUGGAGCCUGACAAGACGUGCUUCCUACACAACUAUUAAUAAUUUUUUUUU